rnacentral:rRNA from 1 species
CCUACGGGAGGCAGCAGUGAGGAAUAUUGGUCAAUGGCCGGGAGGCUGAACCAGCCAAGUCGCGUGAGGGAAGACGGCGCUACGGGUUGUAAACCUCUUUUGCCAGGGAGCAAGGUGCCGGUCGGGCCCUGCUGUGAGAGUACCCGAAGCAAAAGCAUCGGCUAACUCCGUGCCAGCAGCCGCGGUAAUACGGAGGAUGCGAGCGUUCUACGGAUUUAUUGGGUUAAAAGGGUGCGCAGGCGGGGGCGCAAGUCAGCGGUAAAAGCGCGGGGCUCAACCCCGCUCCGCCGUUGAAACUGUGGCCCUUGAGUGCGCGAAGGGUAGGCGGAAUGCGCGGUGUAGCGGUGAAAUGCAUAGAUAUCGCGCAGAACUCCGAUCGCGAAGGCAGCCUACCGGCGCGCAACUGACGCUCAUGCACGAAAGCGUGGGUAUCGAACAGGAUUAGAUACCCCAGUAGUC